UUAAAAGAUAGAAAAAGCACAUGGUUUUGAUCCAGUAUAAAAUAGUGUUAAAGAUUUUAUAUCUUUUGUUGUUUCUUCUGUAAAGAGUUUCUAAAUAUUUCAUUGUAAAUUUUUAAUUGUUGGUUUAAUUCAGUGGAAAUCAUGAAUUAUAUUUCCAAAAAUAGAAAUUUUAACAGACCCGUAAUUUCAGAUAAAAACUGCGCACAUGGUUUUAAAGACACGUGUCGCAUGGACGUCUGCGAUUUUAAAACUAUCGUUAUAUGAAAUGUUUCAUCUGCUACACAGCAAGCAAUUUAAAGAGAAACCA
rnacentral:lncRNA from 1 species